GGGGAUAUAGCUCAGUGGUAGAGCCCAUGCUUAGCAUGCAUAAGGUCUGGGUCUCCAUCCCUAGUGCCCCA
rfam:Ictidomys tridecemlineatus contig055645, whole genome shotgun sequence.